CCUCUUGGCCCGUCUGUCGGUUCGCGAUACCUUCACGUCGAUAUCACGACGGCGGGACGGAAGUCCGGUGAGAGUCCGGCACGGUCGCGCCACUGUAUGCCGGGUGUCGGCUGCGCAACAGCGCAGCGGAGCCCGGUCAGUCAGACCCGACGGCCGUCGUUCGAGCUCCACC
rfam:Streptomyces sp. MnatMP-M17 genome assembly, contig: Ga0115259_10156